rnacentral:rRNA from 1 species
UAGUCCUAGCCGUAAACGAUGGGCACUAAGUAGGGGGGCUCCCAAGGCCUCCCUGCCGGAGCUAAUGUGUUAAGUGCCCCGCCUGGGGAGUAUGGUCGCAAGGCUAAAACUCAAAGGAAUUGACGGGGGCUCACACAAGCGGUGGAGCAUGUUGUUUAAUUCGAUGCAACGCGAAGAACCUUACCUGGGCUUGACAUGUGCGUGGUACCAAACCGAAAGGGGCGGGACCCUCUCUGAGGGAGCGUACACAGGUAUUGCAUGGCUGUCGUCAGCUCGUGUCGUGAGAUGUUGGGUUAAAGUCCCGUAACGAGCGCAACCCUUGUCCUUAGUUGCCAGCGGUUCGGCCGGGGACUUUAAGGAGACUGCCGGUGUUAAACCGGAGGAAGGCGGGGACGACGUCAAGUCAUCAUGGUCCUUACGUCCAGGGCCACAAACGUGCCACAAUGGCCGGUACAAUGGGCAGCAAAACCGCGAGGUCGAGCAAAUCCAAAAACGGCCAAGUCGAUUGGAGCUGAAUUCGCCUCCAUGAAGUCGGAAUCGCU